UGCUCCCAGAAUAUAACUAAUUGGGGGUAACUCCUGCCCAGUGAGUAAUUCAACGGCCGCGGUAUCCUAACCGUGCAAAGGUAGCAUAAUCAUUUGCCCAUUAAUUGUGGGCUAGAAUGAAAGGAUUAACGAAAUAAAAACUGUCUCUGCAGGACGCCUAAAAAUUACCCUCUAACCGAAGAGCGUUAGAUAUUAUCGAAGGACAAGAAGACCCUAUAGAGCUUAAUUUAAACAAAUAUAAAAAAUUUACUAAAAUUCGGUUGGGGCGACCGAGGAAAUAACUAUCAUCCUCAGAUAAAAGAUAAAUAAAUCUAACUAAUGACCCUUAACUAAGAUCACUAAAACAAGCUACCUUAGGGAUAACAGGCUAAUCUCACUAGAGAGUCCUUAUUAAUAGUGAGGUUUGGCACCUCGAUGUUGGCUUAGGGAAUCUAUGUGGCGCAAAAGUCACAUAAAGAUGGUUUGUUCAA
rnacentral:rRNA from 1 species